rnacentral:rRNA from 1 species
UGGCGGCGAGUGGCGAACGGGUGAGUAAUGUAUCGGAACGUGCCUAGUAGCGGGGGAUAACUACUCGAAAGAGUGGCUAAUACCGCAUACGCCCUACGGGGGAAAGGGGGGGAUCUUCGGACCUCUCGCUAUUGGAUGAGCCCGCGUCGGAUUAGCUAGUUGGUAGGGUAAAGGCCUACCAAGGCGACGAUCCAUAGCUGGUCUGAGAGGAUGAUCAGCCACACUGGGACUGAGACACGGCCCAGACUCC